rnacentral:rRNA from 1 species
CAGUCGCCACGGUAAUACGAAGGGUGCAAGCGUUAAUCGGAAUUACUGGGCGUAAAGCGCGCGUAGGUGGUUUGGUAAGAUGGAUGUGAAAUCCCCGGGCUCAACCUGGGAACUGCAUCCAUAACUGCCUGACUAGAGUACGGUAGAGGGUGGUGGAAUUUCCUGUGUAGCGGUGAAAUGCGUAGAUAUAGGAAGGAACACCAGUGGCGAAGGCGACCACCUGGACUGAUACUGACACUGAGGUGCGAAAGCGUGGGGAGCAAACAGGAUUAGAGACCCCCGUAGUCCCUGUCUCUUAUAC